ACGCUCGACACCUACGGGAGCAGCAGUAGGGAAUCUUCCACAAUGGACGCAAGUCUGAUGGAGCAACGCCGCGUGAGUGAAGAAGGUUUUCGGAUCGUAAAGCUCUGUUGUUGGUGAAGAAGGAUAGAGGUAGUAACUGGCCUUUAUUUGACGGUAAUCAACCAGAAAGUCACGGCUAACUACGUGCCGNNCGCGAUNUGAGCGGCGUGCGAG
rnacentral:rRNA from 1 species